GAAGAUAAUGACGGUAUUUUAUGAAUAAGCGCCGGCUAAUUCCGUGCCAGCAGCCCGCGGUAAUACGGGGGGUGCAAGCGUUAUUCGGAAUCACUGGGCGUAAAGAGCAUGUAGGCGGAUUAAUAAGUUUGAAGUGAAAUUCCUAUAGCUUAACUAUAGAACUGCUUUGAAAACUGUUAAUUUAGAAUGUGGGAGAGGUAGAUGGAAUUUCUGGUGUAGGGGUAAAAUCCGUAGAGAUCAGAAGGAAUACCGAUUGCGAAGGCGAUCUACUGGAACAUUAUUGACGCUGAGAUGCGAAAGCGUGGGGAGCAAACAGGAUUAGAUACCCUGGUAGUCCACGCCCUAAACGAUGUACACUAGUUGUUGUGAGACUUGAUCUUGCAGUAAUGCAGUUAACACAUUAAGUGUACCGCCUGGGGAGUACGGUCGCAAGAUUAAAACUCAAAGGAAUAGACGGGGACCCGCACAAGCGGUGGAGCAUGUGGUUUAAUUCGACGAUACACGAAGAACCUUACCUGGACUUGACAUAGUAAGAACUUUCUAGAGAUAGAUUGGUGUCUGCUUGCAGAAACUUAUAUACAGGUGCUGCACGGCUGUCGUCAGCUCGUGUCGUGAGAUGUUGGGUUAAGUCCCGCAACGAGCGCAACCCUCGUGUUUAGUUGCUAACAGUUCGGCUGAGAACUCUAAACAGACUGCCUACGCAAGUAGGAGGAAGGUGAGGACGACGUCAAGUCAUCAUGGCCCUUACGUCCAGGGCUACACACGUGCUACAAUGGGAUAUACAAAGAGCGGCAAUACGGUGACGUGGAGCAAAUCUUAUAAAAUAUCUCCCAGUUCGGAUUGUAGUCUGCAACUCGACUACAUGAAGUUGGAAUCGCUAGUAAUCGUAGAUCAGCUAUGCUACGGUGAAUACGUUCCCGGGUCUUGUACUCACCGCCCGUCACACCCAUGGGAGUCGAACUCAUUCGAAAGCGGGGGUGCUAAAAUAGCUA
rnacentral:rRNA from 1 species